rnacentral:rRNA from 1 species
AUUGAACGCUGGCGGCAGGCAUAACACAUGCAAGUCGAACGAGUGGCGGACGGGUGAGUAAUGUCUGGGAAACUGCCUGAUGGAGGGGGAUGACUACUGGAAACGGUAGCUAAUACCGCAUACCAUCGGAUGUGCCCAGAUGGGAUUAGCUAGUAGGUGGGGUAAAGGCUCACCUAGGCGACGAUCCCUAGCUGGUCUGAGAGGAUGACCAGGCACACGGGAACUGCGACACGGUCCAGAGGCCUACGAGAGGCACCCGUGGGGAAUAUUGCACAACGGGCGCAAGCCUGGUGCAGCCAUGCCGCGUGUACGAAGAAGGCCCUCGGGUCGUCAAGUACUUUGAGCGGAGAUGUGUUAGCCGCAGAAGAAGCACCGGCUAACUCCGUGCCAGGCGCCGCGGUAAUAC